rnacentral:rRNA from 1 species
CGCCUUUAGCCCCACAAAGUAUUAAAGGUCUCGCCUGCCCAGUGAAAUCUUUCAACGGCCGCGGUACCCUAACCGUGCAAAGGUAGCAUAAUCACUUGCCCCCUAAAUAGGGGCCUGUAUGAAUGGCUAACUGAGGGUAUGCCUGUCUCUUAGGACAAAAUAAUGAACCUGAUCUCCUAGUACAAAAGCUAGAAUAAUCACAUAAGACGAGAAGACCCUGUGGAGCUUUAAACUACUGCCACUAACAACCCUACAAUCAACAACAGGAUCAAUUUAGAAGCAUUUUUCAGUUGGGGCAACUAUGGAACACAACAAAACUUCCACGCACCGACUAACCCUCCUCCCAGGCCAACCAGCCACCAACACCAAGACCCAGUACACCUGACCACCGAACCAAGUUACCCCAGGGAUAACAGCGCCAUCCUCUUUCAGAGCCCAUAUCGCCAAGAGGGCUUACGACCUCGAUGUUGGAUCAGGACACCCCAGUGGCGCAGCCGCUACUAACGGUCCGUUUGUUCAACGGUUAAUGUCCU